UACGUAGGUAGCAAGCGUUGUUCGGAGUUAUUGGGCGUAAAGCGGGUGUAGGUGGCUCUAUAAGUCAGGAGUGAAAUCCCCGAGCUUAGCUUGGGAAGUGCUUUUGAUACUGCAGAGCUUGAAUGUGGGAGAGGAUAAUAGAAUUCCAGGUGUAGUGGUGAAAUACGUAGAUAUCUGGAGGAAUACCGGUGGCGAAGGCGGUUAUCUGGCCCAACAUUGACACUGAGACCCGAAAGCGUGGGGAUCAAACAGG
rnacentral:rRNA from 1 species